UUAGAGGAGAGAGGAGGCCGCUGAGGUGAUCAUUCAGGCUGCCACCCACUGGCCCCUGUCCCUGGGGAACAUGGCAGCUCUGGGGCAGGCUUCUCCUAGGACACGGGAGCCCCAGUGGCCAGAAGUGUGACAAGGGCCUUCCAGACAAGUCUGCUGGCUUCCAGUUGCCCAAGAAACUAACCGAGCUGCAUUCCAGACUCCCUGGCACAGGGGGAAAGAUCUCCGAGGAGGGGAGCAGUGGGGCUGAACCUGACCUCCAGCCCAAUCGUCUUGAGGGAGAAGAUGGGCCAGCCCGGGCCCCCCCGGGGACAAGGUCUCUGACACUCAGCUGUCUGGCGCUCUGGCCGCCCCCGACCGUGCCCCAGCUGGCAUCAUUCCCGGCCCUGAGGACU